CCUACGGGAGGCAGCAGUAGGGAAUCUUCCACAAUGGGCGAAAGCCUGAUGGAGCAACGCCGCGUGGGUGAAGAAGGUCUUCGGAUCGUAAAACCCUGUUGUUAGAGAAGAAAGUGCGUGAGAGUAACUGUUCACGUUUCGACGGUAUCUAACCAGAAAGCCACGGCUAACUACGUGCCAGCAGCCGCGGUAAUACGUAGGUGGCAAGCGUUAUCCGGAUUUAUUGGGCGUAAAGGGAACGCAGGCGGUCUUUUAAGUCUGAUGUGAAAUCCCGCGGCUCAACCGCGGAACUGCAUUUGAAACUGUUUUUCUUGAGUACCGGAGAGGUCAUCGGAAUUCCUUGUGUAGCGGUGAAAUGCGUAGAUAUAGGAAGAACACCAGUGGCGAAGGCGGAUGACUGGACGGCAACUGACGGUGAGGCGCGAAAGCGUGGGGAGCAAACAGGAUUAGAUACCCCAGUAGUC
rnacentral:rRNA from 1 species